UUUUUUAAAAAGAUUAGCCAUGCAUGUGUAAGUUUAAGACCAAGUAGGAUGAAACUGCGGACGGCUCAUUAUAACAGUAAUAGUUUCUUUGGUUAGUCGGUACAAGGAUAACUUUGUGAAUGAUAAAGCUAAUACUUGAGACGAUCCGGGAAGUAUUUUACUUUCCGGCCCCCGGAUGCGAGGGUGGGGAAAAACGACCUUUUUUUGGGAAAAAAGAUGCCGCGACCAUUGAGGAAAGCGACGCUUUUUACCAGUAACCAAUGGGAAUUUCUGAACUAUCAAUUUGGUGGUAGUAUCGAGGACUACCAAAAUUAAAACGGGUAACCGGGAAUUGGGGUUCGACCUCGGAAAAGGAACUUUACAGAUGGCUACCCCUUCUAAAGAAGGGAGCAGGCGCCUAAAUUUCCCCCUUUCGACCCGAAGAGGGAAUGACCACCAAUAACUCUUGGGGCCCCUCGGGGUGACUUGAAAGAAUGAUUUUAAAACAAAUUCUCCAAAGAAAUCCAUUGGAGGGCAAG
rnacentral:rRNA from 1 species